CCUUGUACACACCGCCCGUCACAUCACGAAAGCCAGUUGUACUAGAAGCCGGUAAUUUAACCGCAAGGAAACUAGCCGUCCAAGGUAUGACUGGUGGAUUGGGUG
rnacentral:rRNA from 1 species